AUUCUUGGCAUGCGGCUGUUCUCAGUUCUGCGGUAUAAGGGGGUGUCUUAGCUUCACUCUCAAGUUCUGGAAUAUUCACAAGGGUGUUUUUGUCUAGUCUUCUCCUGUUACCCAGGCUGGAGUGCAGUGGUGUGAUCAUAGCUCACUGCAGCUUCAGUCUGCUGGGCUCAAGCAAUCCUCCAACCUCAGCCUCCUGAGUAGCUGGGACCACAGGUGCAUGCUACCAUGCCUGGCUCCCUCAACAUAGAAGACCCUGUCUCGUCAAAGAAAAUUUUUAUUUUAUUGCUCAGGCUGGUCUCAAAUCUCUGGCCUCAAGUGAUCCCCCUGCCUCAGCCUCCCAAUGUGCUGGGAUUAUAGGUAUGGACCCCCAUGCCCACCCUCCUUUGGAGAACCAAAUAACAUGAAUGUUAGGUUGCUUAAGGCUGUUCCAUAGCUCAUUGGUCCUUUCUAAAUUGUUUAAAUUAUUCUUUCUUCUAUUUUAUUUUGGGUAGUGUCUAGUGCCAUGUCUUCAAGUUCACUUAUAUUUUCCUCUGCAAUAUCAAGUCUGCCAUUAAUCCCAUCCAGAGUGUUUUUAUCCGAGAUAUUAUAGUUUUGAUCUUUCCUUUGGCUUCUUGAAUAUGUAAAAUACAGUUUUAACAACUAUUUUUAUGUCUUUGUCUAGUAAUUAUAUCAAGUAUAUCAUCUAUGGGUCAGUUCUAGCUGAUUUUACUCCUAACUAUGGAUAACGUUUUCCUGCUUCUUUGCAUGACUGGUCAUCUUUUAUUGGAUGCCAGACAUUGCAAGUAUUUUCUUUUGGGGUGCUAGAUAUUUUUGUAUUUUUAUCAAUAUCUUGAGCUUUGUUCUGGGAUGCAAUUAAGUUUCCUGGCAAUAAUUUGUUCCCUUUGGAUACCACUUGUUUGCUUCCUGUUCCUCAGGAAUCCACUAUUCGUUAUUACCUGAUUUCCAAUGUUUUAAAUAUUGUUAUUUUUUUCAUGUUCUUUAUUUGUUUCAUGUAAGAGGGUAAAUCCAGUCUCUUUUACUCCAUCUUGGCCAGAAAUUGAAAUAUCUCUUCAUUAAAACUUGAAAUAAAUAUGUUACAGGAGUUUUACUUCAGCAGAAUCUGGGUUCAUUCAAACAUGUGGCUCUCUCUCAGAGACUGGAAAUAGGGACGCUACGGGCCUCCCCGUGCCCCACCCGCCACCUGAGCAGUGUACACUGUACCAAAUAUGUAGUCUUGUAUCCCUCACUGCCUCCAGCCUUCCAUGCCCCAGGCCCCACUGGUAAGGAGCUCCCUGAUCGUCCAUAGGGGAGGGGGCAGAGCUUAGGUGAACCAGAGGCCUAAGUUCAAGGGGCCACAAUAGAAGGGAAUAGGAACACUGAUUGUUCUAUGGCCCUGUCUUGUGGGCUAGGAAGAGAGGACUACAGUGAAAAUAUGAGAAGACCCCAUGAGUUCAGAUUAUCUGCAAUACCUAUGAAAUAUUGAAACCUCAGUGUGGCAAUGAGAAGUCUGCAGCUUCAGUGGCAGCAUCGUGGUAGUAGGAAGAGGCCACAAGAAUGGUUGGUGUCUGGCAUUAGUGCUCAUAGAAGAAAGACAGAAAAGGAGGAAAGUGAUGGCUGUUAUAAUGAAAGGUUCAGUGCCUUUCUGUCCUUUUCUUUUUCUUUUUCUUUUUUUUUUGAGACAGAGUCUCGCUCUGUAGCCCAGGCUGGAGUGCAGUGGCGCGAUCUCGGCUCACUCAAGCUCUGCCUCCUGGGUUCAUGCCAUUCUCCUGCCUCAGCCUCCCGAGUAGCUGGGACUACAGGCGUCCGCCACCGCACCUGGCUAAUUUUUUGUAUUUUUAGUAGAGACGGGGUUUCACCGUGUUAGCCAGGCUGGUCUCGAUCUCCUGACCUCAUGAUCUGCCCUCCUUGGCCUCCCAAAGUGCUAGGAUUACAGGUGUGAGCCACUGCACCCGGCCCUCUCUGUCCUUUUCGGGUAGGCAUUUCAGGGGGCUAGAUCCCCAACUGAAGGAUCUAGGUCAAAGCAAUGCCUCGGGAAGCAAAAAUGGCCUGUGACCGGGAAGUCCUUGUGCACGCACAUACACAGGCCAGUCAGGAUGAUAGUGGGAGCUGCAGUGUAGUGUGCUUGCUUGAAUAAGUGAAUUUUUAAAGUCAUUAGUGACAAAAGUGACUUUUUUUCCCCCCGGACAUGAGAUCUGACCUGUCUUUCUGUGGUGAUGAGGUCUUAUGUUUGUCACUGCUGGCCACAUCUCUGCUCUGCGGAAGCCUACGGGUGAGCCUGCCCAGCUGAAUAAACAGGGGCCAGGACUGAAGGCUCAGGGCCGGGCAUGAUCCAAGCACUCACUGGUGCUUCCUCAGAUGUUUGUUUUACCAUUUUGCCAAAGAGAGAUUGAAGGAGCCUUAAAACAGGUGGGGAGAAGUUCCAUAAAGUUCUUCAUCAGGAAGCUCGGAAAACCGCUUGGCAAAGGCAUAUCUAGAGACCCGGUUACAUGAAUGGAAAAGGAUUGGUCGGUAGGCACAGGCAUACUCCUCUGAAAAUGCUGAAAAUCUGUUCAACUCUGCGGCUCAGGUUGAGACAAAUGCUGUGACCGCUUCAUAAAUCAUGGUAGAAGGAAAUCAAAAGAGAAAUGUCUGUGAGGACUUUAUAUGAGUAUUUCUUUUCCAAAUGUGGAACAUCCCAUUCUUGGAACAUACUGCACAGGGAAAGUGUGUGGCCCUGGGAAGCACUGAGUUAUAAAGUAGUAUUCCACUGAGAAUUCUAGGAGCAAGCCAAAAUACAGAGAAACCCUGAGUAGCUGCUUUUUCAAUCACAUAAUACAACUGUGGUAGAUUAUAAUGUCCCAGGCAGUAUUCACGAAGAGGAAAGGGUUAGUGGUUUGGCCUGCGGUAACGAAGCUGACUUCACUGUCUGCUGCGCUUGUCCAGCAGCUAGUAAUCUCCACCUCUUUUUCCAUCACUUUCACUUGUGUGAGUUAUUUCUCACCAGACCACGGUAAAUGCCACUAGAAGCCUCAUAGCAGUGCUUCACGUUUACCAGCGGGAAGGACACCAACACCAGCCCACUACUCAAGAGUGGACAGAAUUGAACCUGCGUUUUAAGGAAACAGGUCCCAAACGCACUUUUUGUAGAAUCUAAGCAGUGACAUUUCCAAGUCUAUUGAGCCCUUGUAUUAACAUAUGAAUAUCCAGCCCUAAAAACUAGAAACAAGCUAUCAGUGAAAAUGCUUUGUUAUGUGCUAUUUUAUAUAACACAGUGGAACCUGUGUUUUGAUUCAGCAAGUUUGAAACACACUUUUUUGUGGAAUUUAUGAAGUGUAACACUUUCCAAAUUUGUCCUUACAUUGAAGUUUUUUAUACUAUUGCCUAAUUCAGCAACUUUCAGUUAUAACAGAUUCUCUAGUCUAGACAUAAAGUACAUUUUAAAGUAUUUGAAUAUAGUGCCCCAAUCUUGCAGCUAUCUCUUUGCACCCUCCUCUUUUAGAACUUUUAAAAAUUAAUACGUUUGUUCUGCCAUCCGUCCAUCCACCCAUUCACUUGUUCAUUCAACUGAGAGAUACUAGCAUAAAUACACUGUGCCUAGUCUUGGUGCCAUGUGAGGGAGUUACAAAAAUAACAAUGACAACAUUAGUGACAGACUCUCAUAUAUCACUUGCCACUUGCCAGGAACACUUCUAUGCUCUUAACAUAUUAACUGUUAAUCCUUGUAACAACUAUGGAGAAGUUGUUAGCUGUUGAACUAUGAGACGAUACUAUUAUUACCAUGUGCAGAUGAGGAAACUAAGAUUAAUGAGACAUGGUCUUUGCUUUCAAAGGAGUUUACAGAGUAGUAAGAAGUCAAAUUAUAUGUGCAUAAAAGAGUGAAGUUAACAUUGUUGGUUCUAAGUAUCAAUACAAGCUUGCAAAAUUAAUGGCAUAGGAUAGUUUCAUACAGUACAAGGGAGUGUGUCUUACAUCAGGUUCUCCCAAAAGCAGACACUGAGUUAAGGAUUUGGGUGGUCAUGAUUGAUUAGGAAAUUGCUCUCUAGAGGAAUCAGUAAGGAAUGGAUACAAGAUAGGAAAGAGGAAGAAGCCAGCACAAGGGUACUUUCAGGGGAAGGUCUAGCUUCAGCCCGAUUCCAUGGAGAAUAUUGGAGUAUAAAUUAUACCUUGCAUGUUGUGAUGGUUAAUACUGAGUGUCAACUUGAUUGGAUUUAAGGAUGAAAAAUAUUGUUCCUGGGUUUGUCUGUGAGGGUGUUGUCAAAGGAGAUUAACAUUUGAGUCAGUGGACUGGGAAAGGCAGACCCAUCCUCAAUCUGGGUGGGCACAAUCUAAUCAGCUGCCAGCUUGGCCAGAAUAAAACCAGGCAGAAGAACAUGGAGAGAUUAGACUUGCUUAGCCUCACAGCCUACAUCUUUCUCCCAUGCUAGAUGCUUCCUGCCUUUGAACAUUGGACUUCAAGUUCUUCAGCUUUGGGACUUGGACAGGCUUCCUUGCUCCUUAGCUUGCAGAUGGCCUAUUGUGGGACCUUGUGAUUGUGUGAGUUAAUACUCCUUAAUAAACUACCCUUAUAUAUACAUCUAUCCUAUUAGUUCUGUCCCUCUAGAGAACCCUGACUAAUAGAGAUUACCUGCCUAGAAGCAAGGGAACUGAGCAUUUGAAUGCUCCCCCCAUCAAUAAUUGGCUCAUGAGUCUCCCUGUGGUUGGGAAACAUGUAAAAAUCCCAUGCCUAUUAGGUAUGUCAGUCAAGUGGUGGAAAUGGUGGACUAGGGUAGGCAGCUCCAAUGCCCAAGAUCAGUCCUUUUAUUAUCUUGGGUUUAAGCCAUUUGCAACAAAGCAUGCAGAAGCUGGGGUACAUGGAAUUGAUAGAAGAGGUCUGAGAGGAUCUGGAGGGUGAGUAUCAACAUAACUGCUAUAGUUCACCUCUUGUAUUUCACAGAUGAGCUUGCUUCUCUCACUCCAUCCUUAAGCUCACUCCAUCUCAUCACAGUAUCUUCCAAAUUCUGGUUGGUUAAAGAUCCUGGGGGAAACUUCUAAGAAAUAGGUUAAUGGAAUAAGCUGAGUGCUCACUACUGCAGUUUGUCUUGAGAUUGUACCAUCUAUUUGUCCUUUUCUUCUUCUACCACCCUUUCUAGAUUUCCCUUGCCCUUGGAUACCACUUCUGCUAGUUUAGGUGGCUUUCUUGGUGACAUGACCCUGACCUUCAACCCUUAAAGGCCUGAGCCCCUGGCUACCAUGCUUUUAUCAGGCCAUGGUUGCUGUAACUACCCAUUCCCACUUAAUGCUGGCCGUGGGAAUAUCAAGAAAUGUCCCAGAGAACCACCUGAAUUCUGAACAUAUUCCUCCACACCUUCAUUAGGUAGCGCAAUUCUACGUCCUCAUGAUGUCAGGGUCAACUCUCCUGCUAGUAUGGUGACUUUUAUUUCUGGUAUAGUGGCAGCAACCAGUUAUCAGUCAUAGCUUUUUAAAUGAAAUUCUUAAUGUGUCCCCUGGUGGAAGUACACCUCAUCUGUGAAACAGGACCUGAGACCCACAGUGGCUGAGUUUGGGGAGACAAGAAGUACAAAUUCCCCAAGUGGGAGUGAUGGUAAGUAGGUCCACUUUCUACUCUCACCACUUGAAUUCUGGAAUCAAUUAUUCUAUCUAUUGACAACAUAGGACCCCACCUUCAGAGGAUUAUCAUCUCCAAGCUGGCACCUCAACUCUGCCUAACACUGUUAGGCCAGCAGCCUCUGGAUGAUAUAGUACGUGGUAGGACGAGUGGAUUCCACAGUCUUGUGCCCAUGGCCAGACAUCCAAGGCAUUGUCACAUAGUAUGCCCUGCUGGUUAAUCAGAUGCUCUUUAACCCUUCAUCAGAUAGUGAUGUUGUUUGAGGCCCGUGGGCAGGAAAGGCAAGCCCAUUCCUGGAAUACGUGACAAUCCCAAUGGGAAGAAAAUGUUUGGCUUUCCAGAGUGAAUGGAGUCCAAUGUAAUCAACUUGCUGCCAAGUGACUGGUUGUUUUACUUGAGGGUUAGUACCAUAUUUGGGCUCCAGUGUAAGCUUCUGUUUCUGACAGCUGAGACAUUCAGCAAUGCCAGUAGUUAGAUCUGCCUUGCUAAGAGGGAGCCCAUGGGUCUGUACAUAGUGUCUUUGUUUCUGGUAUCCUGGCUUCUCUGUUCGUGGGCCUAUUGCACAAAAAUUGGGAUGGCCAAGAACCAAGGUGAGCUCAUAUCCAUUGGAAGAGCUACUCUGUUCAGCUGGUUAAUGUCUCUUCUGGGUAGACGCUUACUUGUGGGCCUUAAAUAUGUGCUAUAAAGAUGCUCACACUUUGAGACCACUUCCAUAGGUUAAUCCACAUGUUCAUCUCCAGACUAUUUAUUCCUGAUUUUCCAAUUUUUCUUCCUCUAGGCCCCUGGUUAAUCAGCCACUACUAUCCAUGAGGCUAUAUACAGUCAUUCCUUGGUAUCCACUGGGGAUUGUUGCCAGGAUUCCCCUUGGAUACCAAAAUCUGUGGAUGUUCAAGUCCCUUAUAUAAAAUGACAUGGUAUUUACAUAUAACCUACGCACACAAUCCCGUAUACAGUAAAUCAUCUCUAGAUUGCUUAUAAUACUCAACACAAUGUAAAUGCUAUGUAAAUGUUCUUAUACUAUAUAUUUUUUAAAAUUUGUUGGCCGGGCGCGGUGGCUCACGCCUGUAAUCCCAGCACUUUGGGAGGCCGAGGCGGG
rnacentral:lncRNA from 1 species